rnacentral:tRNA from 11 species
GGGGGCGUAGCUCAGUUGGGAGAGCACCUGCCUUGCAAGCAGGGGGUCAAGAGUUCGAAUCUCUCCGUCUCCACUA